UUGUAACAGAAACUAUAACCACCACCACCAGACUGACUUCUCUACCACCAAGUGAGUCUCUCUUUUCUUCCAGUCAUGCUUUCUUUAAUUAUCGGCAGCAAACUAAACUUAUAAUGCAGUAAUUAUAGCCGAGCGGCUCUGAAGGGAGUACCCGAUGAGUAACAGCUUCUCCUUGUUUUGCUGUGUGUCUUUCUCGUUGCUAGAGGGAACCAGCGGAUCAAAUCACAGGAAUAUGUCCAGCGGUGCUGGAGGGCUGGGCUUGGAGAAGAAUGUCUUAACCCAGAACAGCAGUGGAACGUAUUUCUCCUCAUCCUCUGUAGGUGUGAACACCGGCAGCUUAAGCUCCUCCUCAGGAGUUUACCUGGGAGGAGACUCUUCAGGAGGAGGUGAUGGAGGAGGGGGCUACUUAGACGGAGGAGGGUAUGGAAGCGGAAGUGGAGGAGGCGGCGGCGGUGGCAGCAGUUACAUGGUGAGCUCGGUGUCAAAGGUCAGGUCCAGCUCGUCAGGCGGUGCCAGGAGAUCGCAGGCCAAUGGCUCGUCAGGAGGCCUGUCGCCAGGUUUCCGGGAGAGGAAGACCUUAACCAGCCGCUCAGGAGGCUAUGAUGGUGAGAUCCUGUUAAUAAAGUCAAGUUGGCAUCAGACGGGCCAGAAACAGAAGCUUGAAGAGAGAAGGAAGCCGCCGUGCAUGAGGGUGCUGUUAACAUUUCUGCUGCUAUUGUGUUCUCUUGUAGGCAGUUCCAGCGGCAAUUCCUCUCCAGAGUUUACGCGCAAAGAUUAUGGGAUCUAUUGUGAGUGA
rnacentral:lncRNA from 1 species